GCCGGCGCACGAUAUCACGAUUCCCCAUUUUCAUCAAAACAAAAGGCACAAAAAUGACUCAUUUCUAAAACCCUUCGAAAAACCCUUUAAAAUUCUCGCUUUGCCCGUUUGCUGAACCAGAGAGAAAGAAAAAGCCAAAGCAUCUCCAUCAUUUUCUUAUUCUCCGGCGAACCUAUCUCCGUCCGUUCCGUCAUGUGGAAGCCAAUAGAGGCCGUGAAGGCCAGUGCUUCAUCCCACCCAAAGACCUGGAUUGCCAUCGGAAUCGGCGUCGCCGGGAUCGUAAUCCUCGCCGAGACUCACCGCCGCCGUCGGAGAACGAGUGCUCGGUUGAUUCACAAGGAGGAUUUCGGUGCUUUUCUUGAGCGAUUUGAGCUCCUUCCUUUCCCUCAGCCUCCUCCUCCCGCUGCUAGACAAUCCCUUGCUGGCUUAACCUUCGCCAUCAACGACAUAUUUGAAGUGAAGGGGUACUUGACGGGUUUUGGAAGUCCGGAUUGGCAGAGAACGCAUGAGGCAGCAGGGAAGACGGCAUUGGUGGUGACUGCUUUGUUGAAGAAUGGAGCUACUUGUGUUGGAAGGACGAUCAUGGACGAGCUCGCUUUUGGGAUAACAGGGGAGAAUAAGUAUUUUGGUACUCCCAUUAACCCACAAGUACCAUCGUGCAUUCCCGGUGGUUCGUCCAGUGGUUCCGCUGUGGCUGUUGCGGCUGGCCUAGUAGAUUUUGCUCUUGGUACUGAUACAACGGGAUGUGUGAGAAUUCCAGCAUCCUUUUGUGGUAUUAUUGGAUUUCGUCCAUCUCAUGGUGCUGUAUCUACAAUCGGAGUAUUGCCAAAUUCACAAAGUUUGGACACAGUUGGAUGGUUUGCACGGGAUCCAUCUGUGCUACAGGGUGUUGGUCAUGUUUUGCUUCAACUAAACUCAACAGCACCUAGAAGGGCAAGACGCUUUGUUUUUGCUGACGAUCUCUUUCAGCUUUCUAAAGUUCCUACACAGAAGACUGUAUAUGUCGUUGUCAAAGCCAUUGAAAAUUUAUCAGGCUACCAGCCUCCAAAGCAUGUAAAUGUCAGCCAGUAUAUUGCUUCAAAUGUACGCAGUUUAAAAGGAUUUCGUGAAGAAUCGACAAACCUUCAAAAUGGAACACUUACUCUGAAGGCUCUAUCUUCUGCGAUGGUUUCAUUGCAAAGAUAUGAGUUCAAAUCAAAUCAUGAGGAGUGGGUUAGAUCAGCGAAACCAAAGUUAGGACCUGAUGUGUCAGAUAGCGUUAAUGCAGCAAUCGACAUUGUACAUGAGAAUAUGAAAAUCUUGUAUAAAGUCAGGACUGAGAUGAGAGCUGCCCUACAAAGUUUUUUGAAGGAUGAUGGAAUAUUAGUGAUUCCCACAGUAGCAGACCCUCCAUUGAAGCUUGGGACAAAGAAGGGGCUUUCCUCUGAAUUCCGUAGCCGAACAUUAGCACUAACAAGCAUUGCAAGCAUGUCUGGGUGCUGUCAGGUUACCCUUCCACUGGGAAAGCACAAUGAUUAUCCUAUCUCUGUUUCAUUUAUUACAUUCCAUGGUGGAGACAAAUUUCUUCUUGACACGGUCUUGGAUAUAUACGCAUCUCUUCAAGAGCAAGUUGGCAUUGUAUCCAAUUCAUUACCGCUGCCGGAUGCCAAUGGCAAUAUGGAUGCUUCUGAACUCUUAAAGGAGAAGGGGAAUGCUGCUUUUAAGGGGAGGCAAUGGAAUAAGGCUGUGAAUUACUACACUGAAGCUAUCAAAUUAAGUGGGACUAAUGCAACUUACUACUGUAAUAGAGCAGCUGCUUACUUGGAGUUGGGAUGUUUCCAACAAGCUGAAGAGGACUGCUGUAAGGCAAUUGCACUUGACAAGAAGAAUGUGAAGGCAUAUCUGAGACGCGGAACGGCUAGAGAAUCACUUAUUUGUUAUAAAGAGGCUGCUCAAGAUCCUGCUUUCUGGUGGUCUCUGCAACUUGUCUGAAGAAAGAUCUUUUUGUCUCAAUAUGUUUUAGGCAUUAGUUGGAUUUUGUCUAGAUUUCAAGCAUGCUCUGGUUCUCGAACCGCAGAAUAAGGUUGCAAAUCUUGCUGAAAAAAGACUCAGGAAACUGAUGAGUUAAUACUCUCUUUCGACAACCAUACCCUUCUUUUUCAGCAGCAACAGAUCAUUCAAAACGAAUAUUUAACUUUUGGUUGAAUGUUGUGAAAGCCGUCUUCCAUAAUCAUUCUUCCAUAAUCAUUGUUUGGAUAAAGCAAAAGGAAAAGUAAAACAAGUGGGAUAUUGUUUAUCAGCUGCGGCAAUUUUUUUUUUUUUUGGUUCCUCUUGUGUAUAUUGUUCUGUUGUAAUUAAGCAUGUAUGAUCUAAUCAUUUUUGAGGAGCAGUUACAAACCAUUGUUUACUUUCUUACAUCAUGGUUUUAUUGCAUUAAAUAUAGUUGUUUCACAGGAAAAAGAACAAAGGAAGAAAUAAUAUCAUCGAAAAUUGAUUA